rnacentral:rRNA from 1 species
UGCAAGUCGAGCGAUGGAUUGAGAGCUUGCUCUCAAGAAGUUAGCGGCGGACGGGUGAGUAACACGUGGGUAACCUGCCCAUAAGACUGGGAUAACUCCGGGAAACCGGGGCUAAUACCGGAUAACAUUUUGAACUGCAUGGUUCGAAAUUGAAAGGCGGCUUCGGCUGUCACUUAUGGAUGGACCCGCGUCGCAUUAGCUAGUUGGUGAGGUAACGGCUCACCAAGGCAACGAUGCGUAGCCGACCUGAGAGGGUGAUCGGCCACACUGGGACUGAGACACGGCCCAGACUCCUACGGGAGGCAGCAGUAGGGAAUCUUCCGCAAUGGACGAAAGUCUGACGGAGCAACGCCGCGUGAGUGAUGAAGGCUUUCGGGUCGUAAAACUCUGUUGUUAGGGAAGAACAAGUGCUAGUUGAAUAAGCUGGCACCUUGACGGUACCUAACCAGAAAGCCACGGCUAACUACGUGCCAGCAGCCGCGGUAAUACGUAGGUGGCAAGCGUUAUCCGGAAUUAUUGGGCGUAAAGCGCGCGCAGGUGGUUUCUUAAGUCUGAUGUGAAAGCCCACGGCUCAACCGUGGAGGGUCAUUGGAAACUGGGAGACUUGAGUGCAGAAGAGGAAAGUGGAAUUCCAUGUGUAGCGGUGAAAUGCGUAGAGAUAUGGAGGAACACCAGUGGCGAA